AUUGAACGCUGGCGGCAGGCUUAACACAUGCAAGUCGAGCGAGCGGCGGACGGGUGAGUAAUGUCUGGGAAAAUGCCUGAUGGAGGGGGAUAACUACUGGAAACGGUAGCUAAUACCGCAUACCAUCAGAUGUGCCCAGAUGGGAUUAGCGAGUAGGUGGGGUAAUGGCUCACCAAGGCAACGAUCCCUAGCUGGUGUGAGAGGAUUACCAGCCACACUGGGACUGAGACACGGACCAGACUCCUACGGGAGGCAGCAGUGGGGAAUAUUGGACAAUGGGCGCAACCCUGAUGCAGCCAUGCCGCGUGUGUGAAGAAGGCCUUCGGGUUGUAAAGUACUUUCGGCAGAGAAGCGUUACUCGCAGAAUAAGCACCGGCUAACUCCGUGCCAGCAGCCGCGGUAAUAC
rnacentral:rRNA from 1 species